CGUGUCGUGAGAUGUUGGGUUAAGUCCCGCAACGAGCGCAACCCUUAUUACUAGUUGCCAGCAUUCAGUUGGGCACUCUAGUGAGACUGCCGGUGACAAACCGGAGGAAGGUGGGGAUGACGUCAAAUCAUCAUGCCCCUUAUGACCUGGGCUACACACGUGCUACAAUGGCGUAUACAACGAGUUGCCAACCCGCGAGGGUGAGCUAAUCUCUUAAAGUACGUCUCAGUUCGGAUUGUAGGCUGCAACUCGCCUACAUGAAGUCGGAAUCGCUAGUAAUCGCGGAUCAGCACGCCGCGGUGAAUACGUUCCCGGGUCUUGUACACACCGCCCGUCACACCAUGAGAGUUUGUAACACCCAAAGCCGGUGGGGUAACCUUCGGGGGCCAGCCGUCUAAGGUGGGACAGAUGAUUAGGGU
rnacentral:rRNA from 1 species